GAUGAACGCCGGCGGCGUGCCUAAUACAUGCAAGUCGAGCGGACGGACGAGAAGCUUGCUUCUCUGAUGUUAGCGGCGGACGGGUGAGUAACACGUGGAUAACCUACCUAUAAGACUGGGAUAACUUCGGGAAACCGGAGCUAAUACCGGAUAAUAUUUUGAACCGCAUGGUUCAAAAGUGAAAGACGGUCUUGCUGUCACUUAUAGAUGGAUCCGCGCUGCAUUAGCUAGUUGGUAAGGUAACGGCUUACCAAGGCAACGAUGCAUAGCCGACCUGAGAGGGUGAUCGGCCACACUGGAACUGAGACACGGUCCAGACUCCUACGGGAGGCAGCAGUAGGGAAUCUUCCGCAAUGGGCGAAAGCCUGACGGAGCAACGCCGCGUGAGUGAUGAAGGUCUUCGGAUCGUAAAACUCUGUUAUUAGGGAAGAACAUAUGUGUAAGUAACUGUGCACAUCUUGACGGUACCUAAUCAGAAAGCCACGGCUAACUACGUG
rnacentral:rRNA from 1 species